UAAGGAAUAUUGGUCAAUGGACGCAAGUCUGAACCAGCCAUGCCGCGUGAAGGAUGAAGGUCCUCUGGAUUGUAAACUUCUUUUAUCUGGGACGAAAACGGGAUUUUUAUCUCAAUUGACGGUACCAGAGGAAUAAGCACCGGCUAACUACGUGACAGCAGCCGCGGUAAUACGUAGGGGGCAAGCGUUGUCCGGAUUUACUGGGUGUAAAGGGCGCGCAGGCGGGAUAAAAAGUCAGUGGUGAAAUCCUACAGCUUAACUGUAGAACUGCCUUUGAUACUUUUAUUCUUGAGUUCGGGAGAGAGAGACGGAAUUCCAGGUGUAGUGGUGAAAUACGUAGAUAUCUGGAAGAACACCAGUUGCGAAGGCGGUCUCUUGGUCCGACACUGACGCUGAGGCGCGAAAGCGUGGG
rnacentral:rRNA from 1 species